UACAUGGGGUGCAAACGUUGCUCGGAAUUAUUGGGCCUAAAGCAUCCGUAGCCGGUCCUACAAGUCUUCCGUUAAAUCCACCUGCUUAACAGAUGGGCUGCGGAAGAUACUAUAGGGCUAGGAGGCGGGAGAGGCAAGCGGUACUCAGUGGGUAGGGGUAAAAUCCUCUGAUCCAUUGAAGACCACCAGUGGCGAAGGCGGCUUGCCAGAACGCGCUCGACGGUGAGGGAUGAAAGCUGGGGGAGCAAACCGG
rnacentral:rRNA from 1 species